GACGUAGGUGGCGAACGUUAUCCGGAAUUAUUGGGCGUAAAGGGUGCGUAGGCGGCAUGAUAAGUUAUUGGCGGCAAAUCGAGGCUCAACCUCGUGGAAACUGAUAAUACUGUCUUGCUUGAGUGACAGAAGAGGUCAACGGAACUCCAAUGUGGAGCGGUAAAAUGUGUAGAUAUAUGGAAGAACAUCAAUAACGGCGAAGCAGUUAACUAUUCUGUUA
rnacentral:rRNA from 1 species